UGUACUUCCUGCUGUCUGUAUAUUUUUCAAGAGGGUUGACCGCUUUGUGAAAGAAGGACACAAGACAAAGAAAGAUAAAUUGGUCCAAGCAGAAACUAUAAAUGCUGGGAGUUUGGUUAAAGCAGCUGAACUGAAAAUGGAUGAAUCCAUUCUCAAGGAUGUACAUGGAAAAGAUUGUGUCGCAAUUAAAGAGCGGUACCACAAACGGUGCUACAAAGAAUAUGCAAGAUUUCUGGUGGCUACAACAAGUGAUGAAAGGAUGCCAAAAGCCUGGGAGUAUGCCACUGUGUACACAGAAUUUUGUGACAAAAUAAUUCGGGCACAGUUGAUUAAAAAACAGGAAAUCUUCAGGAUGAAAAAGCUCUCUUCCCCGUUCCAGAAAAUGAUACGAGAACACCAUGGUCAUGGAAGUUACAGCUUAGAUCUUCUGAAGAAAAUACUGAGGCAAGACUUUCCCCAGCUAAAUUUCUACAAGCCUCCGAGGAAAAACCUGGUUCAUUAACUGAAACUGAGUCAUCAGGAUCGCAAGAGACUUUGUCGAGUGGUGGAGAGACAGUUCAGGAAGGUGGUACUUAUGCAGCACAACGAGACCGUACCUAUUUUGUGUGUCUUCCCCUUCAGAGAAGCUUUUGCCUCCUACAAAGGAUGCCCUCUACCAGCACAGCUUGCGAGCCAAUUAUCAAGCAGCUAUUCACCGGAGAUCGCUUGAGCAACAGAUCUACGCUCCUUCUCCUGAGAGUCAUGGCUGGAUUUUAGAAGGUUGGGCAUUGUCUAUAAAGUGGAUGACUAUCGCUGCUGCCCCGGAUGUGGUCCUUAAUACAUCUCGCUGUUCUUGUAAAGUCGGAAAAUGUUCUCAGGGUAAAUGCUCCUGUUUAAAAGCAAAAGUCUCUUGUUCCUUUUCCUGCAAAUGUGUGGACUGUGAGAACCGUGAUGCUACACCUGAUGAAUUGUCGUUCCAGACAUCGGAGAGCAUUGAUGAAAUGCCAGACUCUGAAUCAGAUGAAAGUGAUUUUGAUGAUUCAUAAUUUCUUUGGGAUGCUGGAGAUAGGCACCAGCAACCCCCGCGACUCCAUGAGGGAUUAAGCGGGUUGGAAGAUGGAUGGAUGGAUAAUUUCUUUGUGUUUUCUAUUGUAAUUCUCAAGUCGUAACAACCUGAAGUGAUCCUAAAAAGUUUAACAUCUCUUACUGGGUCCAACAAAAGUCAUUGUUUAAAAACAGAAAUGUCUUUGUGCCUAGUUUUCAUUGUUCAAAUUUUUGCUGUGUUUCAGUUAUUUCCUAAAAUUUUGCUUCCAAUAUUGUAACUGGUCUGAAAGGUGAUAAAAUUCACACCACUUUUCAUAGUUAUUAGUUAACCAGACACAAAAGGAUAUCUUGCUAUUAGAGUUUUUCAAUUGAAAAUUCAAAGAAUUGCAGUUUUCAUGUGCAAUAAAGAUAUAUUUUGGGAGAUUGUGAAAUUGUUAAAAAGUGUAGUUUUUCAUUUAGAAUAACUCCUUACUUAAAGCGCGCAGAACAUUGCCGCUUUAUAAGCUCUGAGUAAGUAUGAAUGUCUGUGGGAAUCAAAAUUUUGAGUCCGAUCGCCUUAAUAAUAAAAAAGUUACAAGGGUUUGAAAAUGGUAGAAGACCCAAAUUUGUCACUUUUUUGGGUAAACUGCCACCUUUGGCACCCAUUUUCUCAAAUACUGGCAGGAAUCCCAUGGAGAACUUUUUUUCCCAGCUCGAGUACAUAUUUAAGAUUGGAAAACUGCUAUCGAAAAGUAGUCCCCAGGUUAGUGGAACGAAAUCCUA